rnacentral:rRNA from 11 species
CGAUACUAAUAGCUCGAUUGAUUUACUUUG